rnacentral:misc_RNA from 1 species
AAGUCGUAACAAGGUUUCCGUAGGUGAACCUGCGGAAGGAUCAUUAACACGUAUCCAACGUUAAACAACCCUGUGAAACCCCGCCGGAAUGAGAUUAAUUUCCAACUCCGGCGAAGACAAGUGACCUGGCACCUGACCUCAUCAAAGCUCUGACAGCGUGCCUCUGGAUGCUUAAUGGAAGGGUGACGCAGUAACGAUCGCUGGAGGCCCACACGGCCGGCGACCGGGUCAGCGGCAUUCUUUAAUGCCCCUUAAAACCACUUAACAUGACGACAGUUCCUCUUUAACUUGAGUUGAGCUAUAACAAAAAACUAAUACAACUGUUAACAAUGGAUAUCUUGGUUCUC